UACGUAGGGUGCAAGCGUUGUCCGGAAUUAUUGGGCGUAAAGAGCUCGUAGGCGGUUUGUUGCGUCGGCUGUGAAAUCCCGAGGCUCAACCUCGGGUCUGCAGUCGAUACGAGCAAACUAGAGUGUUGCAGGGGAGACUGGAAUUCCUGGUGUAGCGGUGAAAUGCGCAGAUAUCAGGAGGAACACCGGUGGCGAAGGCGGGUCACUGGACCGGAACUGACGCUGAGGCGCGAAAGCGUGGGGAGCAAACAGG
rnacentral:rRNA from 1 species